GACGAACGCUGGCGGCGUGCUUAACACAUGCAAGUCGAACGGAAAGGCCCUGCUUUUGUGGGGUGCUCGAGUGGCGAACGGGUGAGUAACACGUGAGUAACCUGCCCCUGACUUUGGGAUAACUUCAGGAAACUGGGGCUAAUACCGGAUAGGAGCUCCUGCUGCAUGGUGGGGGUUGGAAAGUUUCGGCGGUUGGGGAUGGACUCGCGGCUUAGCGGCUUGUUGGUGGGGUAGUGGAUUACCAAGGCUUUGAAGGGUAGGCGGCCUUAGAGGGUGACCGGCCACAUUGGGACUGAGAUACGGCCCAGUAGCCAACGGGAGGCAGCAGUGGGGAACAUUGCACAGUGGGCGGAAGCCUGAUGCAGCAACGCCGCGUGCGGAAAGCCGGCCUUCGGGUUAUAAACAACUGUCUCCUGUGACGUGGCGGGAGUGACGGUAAUGGGUAAAGAAGCCCCGGCUAACUACGUG
rnacentral:rRNA from 1 species